UACGUAGGGUGCAGGCGUUAAUCGGAAUUACUGGGCGUAAAGCGUGCGCAGGCGGUCUUUUAAGUCAGAUGUGAAAUCCCCGGGCUUAACCUGGGAACUGCGUUUGAAACUGGAAGGCUAGAGUGUGGCAGAGGGGGGUGGAAUUCCACGUGUAGCAGUGAAAUGCGUAGAGAUGUGGAGGAACACCGACGGCGAAGGCAGCCCCCUGGGCUAACACUGACGCUCAUGCACGAAAGCGUGGGGAGCAAACAGG
rnacentral:rRNA from 1 species